GAUGAACGCUAGCGGCAGGCCUAAUACAUGCAAGUCGAACGGUGUCUUCGGACAUAGUGGCGCACGGGUGCGUAACACGUAUGCAACCUACCUUACAUUGGGGGAUAGCCUUUCGAAAGGGAGAUUAAUACCGCAUAAGACAGUAGCUGGGCAUCCAGCAGCUGUUAAGGAUUUAUCGAUGUAAGCUGGGCAUGCGUCCAAUUAGCUAGUUGGUGAGGUAACGGCUCACCAAGGCAAUGAUUGGUAGGGGAACUGAGAGGUCCAUACCCCACACUGGCAAUGGGAUCAGGGCCAGACUCCUAGCGGAGGCAGCAGUGGGGGAAAUUGGGCAAUGUACGCAAGUCUGCCCCGACCGGGCCGCGAGGAGGCUGAACGGGUUAUGGGGUGGAAGCGGGUUUUAUACAGGAAGAAACGACUCUUGCGAGAGGCAUUGACGGUACUGUAUGAAUAAGCACCGGCUAACUCCGUGCCAGCCGCCGCCGUAA
rnacentral:rRNA from 1 species